UACGUAGGGUGCGAGCGUUAAUCGGAAUUACUGGGCGUAAAGCGUGCGCAGGCGGUUCUGAAAGUCAGCUGUGAAAGCCCCGGGCUUAACCUGGGAACUGCGGUUGAAACUACAGGACUAGAAUCUGGCAGAGGGGGGUGGAAUUCCACGUGUAGCAGUGAAAUGCGUAGAUAUGUGGAGGAACACCGAUGGCGAAGGCAGCCCCCUGGGUUAACACUGACGCUCAUGCACGAAAGCGUGGGGAGCAAACAGG
rnacentral:rRNA from 1 species